UAUAGAUGGAUCAUCGAUUCAAGAGAUACUAAAACAUCAGAUAGAUUAACAAAACUUAAAAACCCAUACUCUUUAUAUCGCUGCCAUACUAUUAUGAACUGUACGCGCACUUGCCCAAAGGGUCUGAAUCCUGGAAAAGCAAUUGCUGAGAUAAAAAAACUUUUAGCUAAUAUUACUCAUAAAGAAAUUGGAAAAAUCCAAGUUGACGCUUGAUUUCAGUUAGAUAAUACAUUUAUGAUUGUACAGGAAUUUAUACAGGAAAAAUAGAGAUACACUUUUCCGUUUGUUGGAUUAAAAAUAAAUAAUUCAGUUCUAACUAA